GACGAAGGGGGCUAGCGUUGUUCGGAAUUACUGGGCGUAAAGCGCGUGUAGGCGGUUGUCCAAGUUGGAUGUGAAAGCCUUGAGCUUAACUCAAGAAAUGCAUUCAGGACUAGAUGACUAGAGGACCGGAGAGGAUAGUGGAAUUCCCAGUGUAGUGGUGAAAUACGUAGAGAUUGGGAAGAACACCAGUGGCGAAGGCGGCUAUCUGGACGGUUUCUGACGCUAAGACGCGAAAGCGUGGGGAGCAAACAGG
rnacentral:rRNA from 1 species